UCAUUUACUGGAGAAUGGACAUGAAUAAAUCUCUUUGGAGAACUGUGACAGAGAAUCUGUUGAUAUUUCUCUAAGACAGUGUUUAUAAAUUCCACAGAUUUCUCUGGAUCAAUACUAGACCCUGUACUGGACACUGAAGUUUACAAGAUUGUCUCUUCAACUACAGGGCAGACAAGAGGCAGCACAGAACUGACGUUUAUCAAAGCAGCAGAUGUUCACAACUUGUUGAUAAGUGAACACCUUAUUUUAGCCAGGAAGAAGAGAAGACUUCUUCAAAGGUUAAUGCAUUUGAAAAAGUGAUAACAACAGACUGCAUCAAGGCUGAUUUCUUCUUUUACUUUGAUCCCAAGUCAUUCUGUUGCAUUAAG